rnacentral:lncRNA from 1 species
ACCAGAUCCUAGAGGUCAAAGAGAGAAGCCUGAAGUGCUCUGAAGGCUGCCAACAAAAUGUCAAGUGAGUCCACUGACAAAAAGGAAGAGAAACCUUGGAAAAACAUUAUUGCUUAUGUUCCAUCUGAAUCUGAGCAGCUGACCUGAGGAAGGAGGUAAGAAGAAAUGAAGGAAUGAAAUACUGAUAUCUUCCAAGAACUAUUCACAAACAGGUCAGAGAAAAGGGUUUCACUUAGGAUUACC